rnacentral:misc_RNA from 1 species
UGAAGUAAAAGUCGUAACAAGGUUUCCGUAGGUGAACCUGCGGAAGGAUCAUUCAUAAUAAGUGUUUUAUGGCACUUUUUUAAAUCCAUAUCCACCGUGUGUGCAAUGUCAGGGUUGAUUUUUCUCUCGAGAGGAUCAACCCCAAACAUCAACUAUAUCUCAACUCUUUGUCUGAAAAAUAUUAUGAAUAAAACAAUUCAAAAUACAACUUUCAACAACGGAUCUCUUGGCUCUC